CAGGACCGAGAGUUGUGCUUCAGUUAAGUCAGCUUACAUCUCAAAUGGUGUUUGAAAACAGGAGGCGAAUCACUGUGCCUCUGCCUCCCUCGUUAGGAACGGAAGCUUGCUACCCCCUUUGUCCUCCCUUAGAGUGGACGUGGAAGGGGAGAACUCUAGCAUUGCAGAGGGGAAGAUGCUUUGGCCCCCCUCUGUCCUGAGUGCCAGACCCAGGUUGCCUGUGGGUGUGACUCUGGGAACACUGGGUGUGGGCGUGUGACUGUGUGUGUGCACGGUCAUGUAUGUGAUGUGUGUAUGUGAUGUCAUGUAUGGGAUGGUGUGUGCAGUGUGGUCUCGUGUGUGGUGUGUGCGGUGUGAUCACAGUGUGAGUGUGCAGAAUUCAUUCAUGCUUCUGGUGUGUGUGCUGUGCAUAUGUGAGUGUGCCUAUAUGUGCUUGAGCAUGUGCAUGUGUGUGUUGUAGGUGCUGUGUGGUGUGUGUGAGUGUGUGGGUGUGUAAGCAGUAUCACCCCACAAGCCAUGGUCAGCACUGGAGAACAACUUUCAGAGAGCAGGUGAAUUAGGGCUUGUGCUAGGAACACUAUUCAGGAGCUCUUCGGCUGCGGGUUCCCUGAACCCAUUUCUCACACUAGAGUGACACUCCUGUUCAACACAUGAGCUAGCUGCUCCGCAUACCCCAGGCGCCGGACCCUGCCCCUCAGGCCCCCUUUCCCCUACUCUCUUCUCCCUGGUCAAGGCCUCAGGCUUUCCCAAUCUCCCUGUCCAAUCUGAGUCUUUCUAAAAAUAUGAAAUAAAAUAAGGAGAAACCUCUAAUCUGCAUGAUCUCAGGUCUUUCUGCUGUUCAAGACAGACAACGCCCUCUCUCAGAGCUGUUCAGAAUUGUCACAUAGAAUACUCUGAUCCCAGGACUGGUGGUGACACCACUGGGUCCCCACAUAACCACCUGUGGACAGUGCAGGUGGAGAGGCUCUGGGGUCUGCACCUGUGACUGAAGAGGGACGGGGUGGCUGGUGUGGUGAGAGGGUUGACAGCCCCUGGGGGU
rnacentral:lncRNA from 1 species